CUGAACUGUGCUGCUAUAGCUCAGACCAACACAUGGGACACAUUUUGUGGGAUUUAAGCGCUUCUAUCUUUUGCUGCAGGAUGUUGCUGCUCAUCUGACUCCAUGCUGAUUUCUGCAAGAUCCAGAGAUGGAGCCUGCCUCUUUAUUUCCAGCUGAAAGGCACUGAUGUCUGCGAGGAAUCUGCAUCACACCGGGUCGGGAUGUUCUGACCAAAGGCUGCUGGCUCUCCAAACUGGACUGGUUGUUCUGCAGGGCUUACAGCGUCACUGAGUGUUGAUCCUGCUGAUAAGAGAAAUAAGGAGCAAAUAAAUGUGCCAUUAACCUAGAAACAUGUUUUUUUUCUGCCUUUUUCCCUCCUCAGUCAUACAUUUGUUCCUCAUCACUUACAGACGUAGGGUCAGAACAGCUCUGUACUCAGAAAGCUGGAGAUCACAGUGUGGAAAAGCCCCCAGCGAACUGGCAGAAACGCUGUCCCCAUUACAGCAGCAGCAGGGGUCAGGCCAUGGCAGCAAGCAUCCAACCUGCCCCAAAUUGGCUGCAAAAUGACCAAUUACCUGAGUGAAGGCUGGGGAGAAAGAACUUGGAAAAAUAUGGCUUUUACUUAAUUCAGCUAAACUGUAAAAGAAGCUAGUGUCACACCGAUGUUUGUUACACGGUACAGUAUCCCCUGUUAAGUGAAGAUCUUGGCAUCAAAUCGUAAACGAAUAAAAAAAUCAAUUUUCAGGAUGAUCAAAAUGUAGAGAUGUGAGUGAACUGCAGGAAUAUAAUCCGUACAGCUAUAAGGUUGGGUAUUAUUUCACCAACCUUGAAAACAAUGAUUGAUUAAACAUCCUUACAUGUAGGUCUUAUUGAAUUAAUUUCCCUGCAAAUGGAAAACAUGCAAAUUCGCCAAUUAAGUCAUUUGCCCAUGGAGAGCCGGGCUGCUUGACGUUCAGCUGCCACUGCGCCUUUAGUCUGAAACCCCUUUUUAGAUUUGUUAAGAGUUAAGUCUCCAACAAAGACAGGAAGGAGGUCAGCACUCAGCCAACACCUGAAUGCGCCUCUCUUUUUUGUGCUCCCCUUGAUCCUCACGGUCUGUGCCUGUCAUUAGUCUUAAUGAUGGAAAAUUGUCAUGUUGA